GAUGAACGCUGGCGGCGUGCCUAAUACAUGCAAGUCGAGCGAACGGACGAGAAGCUUGCUUCUCUGAUGUUAGCGGCGGACGGGUGAGUAACACGUGGAUAACCUACCUAUAAGACUGGGAUAACUUCGGGAAACCGGAGCUAAUACCGGAUAAUAUUUUGAACCGCAUGGUUCAAAAGUGAAAGACGGUCUUGCUGUCACUUAUAGAUGGAUCCGCGCUGCAUUAGCUAGUUGGUAAGGUACCGGCUUACCAAGGCAACAAUGCAUAGCCGACCUGAGAGGGUGUUGGGCGACACAGGAGCUGAGCCACGACCCAGGGUCCGACGGGAGGCAGCAGUAGGGACUCUACCGCAAUGGGCGAAAGCCUGACGGAGCAGCGCCGGGUGAGUGAUGAAGGUCUGCGGAUCGUAAAACUCUGUUAUUAGGGAAGAACAUAUGUGUAAGUAACUGUGCACAUCUUGACGGUACCUAAUCAGAAAGCCACGGCUAACUACGU
rnacentral:rRNA from 1 species